UGCUGGAUUAAAUGCAUUUUUCGUUAAAUAUAUUAUAAUCAAAGGAAAAUGAUUUAAAAUUAUUAAAAGUUAAGCUAACAUUUAGGUUAAUUUCAGCUCAAUGUCCGGAAUGAUUUAAAUUUAUUUUUGUUACAUAAAAAUAUACUGAAACGAAUAAUAAUUGAAAAUGUAGCCUAAAGUCAAUUUUGGGAGUUCAGCGAUUUUUUUGUUCAGUGAUUUAACGGCCAAUACUCUGUUUAGGAUUGCGCUACGAGAUGGGGCUCCAAACAAAAAAUGGUGGAAAGAAUUUUGGAGCAAGUCCCUGCUAUCAGAAGAGUUUUAGAUGACCGGCGACACCACCAUCUAAAUCCAAGCUGGCAAGAUAUUGCUGUGCUCGAAUCCGUGAAUGCAGCACUGAAACCCGCCGCUGAGUUUACAGAUCUGCUGUCUGGCGAGAGCUAUGUGACCAUGUCAUCAGUCAAACCCGUGCUGAAACUCCUUACAGAGGACAUCAUUAAACCAUCAAACGAGGAUACCACACUGACAUCGGAUAUAAAGCAAAAAAUGUGCAGUGUUCUCCUGGAGAAAUACGAACUAGCUGCCUUGCAAAUUGGCAAAGGCCUGUUUUUUUAGACCCUAGAUAUAGGGGGAUCAUAUUUUUGACACUGAGGUGCCACCUGCAGCAAAGAAAAAGACUCUUGGAGACCUGCUGAAUUCACGGACAACCUCCGCGUCAGCGUCCGUACCUAGAAGAGUUUGCGCAGAUAACGAGCUCGCGUGCCAUUUACAAGAAGAGCCAAUAGACUCUAACGCAAAUCCACUCUCCUGGUGGCGCGAAAACCUUUUUUCCUGCUUUCCUUCUUUCCAAAGUCGCUCGCAAGUACAUGUGUAUUUGUGCGACCAGCACACCAUCAGAAAGAGUUUUCAGUGCCGCCGGAAACAUUGUUACGCCUAUGCGUUCGUCUCUGACACCACAUAAGGUUAAAAUGUUAGUUUCUCUAGCACGAAACAAGGACAUGAUAAGCCAGGUUUAAAUCACAUUCCUUAACGCUCAAGUGAGCUUUUUUAUUUAUUAUUUUAUUUAUUUUUUCCUGUACUGUAUUUUCAUUUACACUGUUCAUCAUCACUCAUGUGAUACUGGAGUUCUUUCGUUUUUCAGAUUGAAGGCAUGUUCUUAUUGCUGUGUUCGGCAUUUUGCAUUGGACAAGAAACAUUUUAUAACCCCUUUCUCUGUCAUUUAAAAAGUUAAUUCUCACGUGACAUAAUAGCCUAUUUAUUUCCAUUUUAUAUUUUUUUGCUGUAUUUUGACUUAAACAGUUUUUUAUUUGAUAGGCUAAUUUAGUUUUUCAGAUUCAAGGCAUGGUCCAUUGUGUUCUGCAUUUAACAAUAAACAAAACAUUUUAAGGCCAGUCUCUCUGUCAUUUAAAAACAAAAAAUAUAUACUACAUAAUAAAUCUUUAAAUGCACCAAAAUUAUAUGUCAGGUAAUUUGCAAAAAAAAGGUAGGUGGGGCGGUACUACCGCCAACCGCGCUAUUGACCCAGCCAUAAUUACCGCAAGGGAAAUUUCCCAACCGCGACAGCCCUACACAUCAUGCUUGAAUGCAAAGCACGGUCCUACUAUAUUGUAACUAUCAUGACAGGCAAGCAUUAAGUUUUACAUUAUUACUUGUUAGAAAUUCAACAAGCGAUACUUAUUUAGAAAUGUUUUGUACCUUAAAAAAUGACAACAAACUGUGUUCAAGAAACAAAUACAGACAGGUUUGUUUAGCAAUCAUUAAACCCACAGAAACAGACCCAUUAAACUGAUACAUGUGACCAGACACAGACACAAGGAAAUAAUACAUGAUCUUAAAGGGGUGAUAUGGCACGAAUACGUAUUUUUCUGUGUCUUUGGUGUGUUAUAAGUUGCCCAUGCCAUGUAUUAGACACGUAAAAUUGCCAAAAUUAAAGUGUCGGAAUAAAAGAUGCAUUCUAUCUAAAAGCAAAUGCUCACCCAGACCUGCCUGAAACGCCUUGUGUAACCACACCCCCACAAAUCUACAUCAUUUCGUGGUAUGACUUGACUAAGGGCGUUUUUACACCUGUGUAUCGAUUGCUUUGUUCCGAAACCGGGGGUUAAAUCGCUACAAUAUUUAAAUUUAUUUUAGUUCGGUUCGCAUUCACAAGGCAAUAUUUCCAAACGGACCAAACUUUGUUAAUAAAAGUCACGUGCGAGUAAACUCUCAUUCGAUUGGUCAGAGUGCAUCUGUUUAUUUUCCGGCGGUAACGCGGGUGAUAAUGAGCGUCAGCUGCGCGUUGUCUCGCGUCUCUCACGGCGGAGCUCGGGAAGCAUAAAUGGAGGAGAAGGACGAGAGAGAACCAGGCCUGGAUUUUAUGUUAUGUUUUAUUGUGUUUGUGUGGCCGGCAGUCGACUGUGAGGGAGCUGUCAGCACUUUACUUUCGUUUUGUUGUUUGUUUAUUUUAUUAAAAGUUUGGUUUAACGUUCGCCGGUUCCCGCCUCAUUCCUUCCUUACUUUGAACAUUGUUACAGGGAGCCAUUAGCAAAACAAUCCCUUUUGCGUCACGCAACUUUACAUAAUUACUCAUCAUACAUUGUGAUACAGUCUGGUUCGUUGGUCCGUUGGGUCGGAUGGCUUUCACACAUCUACAGAACCGCUCCAGAGUUCGUUUGCAAUCGGGUCGAGACCACCUUGUUCAGGCGGUCUCGGAGCGAUUGUUUUAGGGCGGAUCCUAGCGCGAUUGCCGUGUUCACAUAUGCCUAAACGAAUCGAACCAAGAGAGAAAACGCACCAGGUUUCGAAACAAACCCUUAUGUGUGAAAACGCCCCAAGACUGCCCAAAUGUAUACGCAAGUAAGGUGGGCGUUAGGGCUGGGCGAUAUAUAUCGCGAUGCAGGCUAAUUAUACAUGUCUAAACCGAUACUGAAAUCGAUUCAAUGUUUUAUGCACAGCUCUUCCGUGAACUACGGCUGUUUGAUCAGUAGGAAGUACUGCUCGUCUGCUCGAUCUAAAAUCACUAGGAGAUUGAGUAGUUUAUAACAUGUAUUUGAAAAAGCAACACUCGUCUAUAGGGAUGUAACGAUUCAAUCAGCUCACGAUGCGAUGCACGAUUCUGAUCUCACGGUGCGAUUUAUUCACGAUUUACUCACGAUUUAUUUUUAAAAAAUGAGUUGAAACAAAUUAGAAAUGAACAACUUCCCUUGCAUUAUUUCUUAAAUGCUUCACGUUUCUUUGCAUAAUAAAAUAAUGUUUUAUUUCAAAUAACAAAACUAAACUGCGAUUUUAUAACAAAUUAAUGAUAGAAAAAGUCUCUUUAAUAUAAACAAACUAAUACUGUCUGUGCUUUUCUUGGAUUUUUUUGCAUUUAAGAAAUAUCAGCAUCCACGUUUAGGUUUGCAGUGAAAAUAGCGGCCCCUGCUGUUCAAAAAAUGUAUUGCGAUUCAGUUCAAGCCUCAACCGAAUUGAAUCGUCACUCAUUAUAACCGAUUUUCAACCGGCUCACGGUGAAUCGUUACAUCCCUACUCGUCUAUCAUCAUUACUAGAGAUGGGACGUUUGACACUAAGGCUUCGAAGCCUGUUUUACUCUAUUGAAGAAGACUGGUUCGAAACUGUAUCGAGGCUUGUAUCAAAUGUAUGUGAUCACGUGACCGAUGACGUUUGAGGCUUCAUACGUCACAAUUAAACACCUGAAGCAAUGUGACUGAUUCAAAUCUUUGCCGUGCCUUCAUUCAUUAUAAGGAGACGCAAAAUGCUCUUAAUGCAAAUCAGAAAAUCUAAAUCCAGGGAUGUCCUUAUAAUCAGUUCCACCAUAAGAGGUAUCCACUGAAUUGCAUAUUGCAACAUAUUUUAAACAUUUUACUAGUAAAGUGACAUUUCAAAACGUUGUAACGCUUUCAUGUGUGGACAAUGAUUCUCAGACUGAAGAUACAGCUGGUAUUGCUGAGUAUUGCUUUUGUGUUGAACUGGAAUCAACAAGAUGUGAAUCAUUAGAAAGUGGCUUCUAUAAUUGCAGCUGACCACUAGAUGUCACUGGUAGGUUCGGUCUUUGAGGCUUUGACGCUUUGAAUCAUUUUUGGUACAAUCAGGAAAAAGCCUCAAAAGCUUCACAAGGCUUCAUCUGCCCAUCUCUAAUCAUUACUAUAAAUCAACUUUAUUAUCAUAAAAAAACCUGAAAAGGUUUGAAGAACAGCGACAGAAUAUGACCACAGGCAUUUCCUGGAACUAAUUGCUCUUCUUCAGUUUCACAUAUUCGGAGCUUCUGCGCAAGAGCACCCUCUGGCUUUCGGAUGAGGCGGCAUUUAACCGUAAGUCAUUGAGAAACUGAGAGCAUAAGAAUCGAGGCCGGCUGUGCAUGAAAGCUUUGGUUAAAACGUGGGGCAAUUCCAACCAUUACAACUUCGCAAGGACAGUCUGGCGAUUCAGAUUCGCAGCCUGUAAGUAUAUUUUCAUUGUAAAAGACUUUGUUAUGGACUAAUGUGAGUUGAGUUUGUCAUUUGUUUGUGAUCUGCAAACGCAGACAUGCGCGCAACGCGAAAAAAGACAACAUAAGUCCUAAUAAUCAGUAAUUAUGUUCCAACUAGAGGCAACAAAUGUCUGUUUAUAAUGGGGUUUAUUGUCUUUGUUGAGUCGUGACAAGACAUGGUGUAACACUGGUUGAUCACUAACGGCAAAUCUUUAUAAUGUCGUAUAUAAAUGGUAAAACAGUUAGGUAUAGUUUUGAAUUAUUUAACAUAAUAUAGUUUUAAAAACCUUACCAAUCCUUUACAUCCUGCUCAAGUUGCGCUGGCAAAGUUGAUGUAUCGGCUUGAUCAUCUUCAUUUUCCGGAUCAGAUUCGCGCUCGAAUUGAUAUAAGGAAGUACCGAUGACAUUUUAUCACCUGUCAGUACAAUUGCUUGGGAACCUGAUGUUCCGAAUAUGGUAAGAGGCGUUACAUUUCCAUCACACGCUUGCCGUAUUCAACCAAUCACUACGCACUGAUUAAGCGGCCAAUCAUAGCACACCUCGCUUUUCAAGGCAAUGAGCUUUGUGAAAAAUCCGCGCGUUUCAGAGAGGCGGGGCAAAGAGGAGAUACAAACAUGCACGAUUGUUUGAAACUGAUAGAUGGAGUGGUCCCAGUGCUAAAAGAUGCCGGACAUGAACUGCACACACUUGCUUUGGUGCUCCGGUCAGUGAUCACCAGUGGCGGACAUCUUCUCUGGGAGGGAUUCCCUUGCAACUUCUCCUGGCGCAGCAUUUUCCCCAACCUGCCAGCGCGGUCUCGAGUCGGGUGAGGUCGCCAGGCGCUUCAGCCCAUCUCUCAGCACCGGCGAUCUAUC